CAUCCAGUGACUUGGAUCCUCAGUUCUCGAAAAGUUUGAAUUUAAAAAGUUGUAAUUCUUGGGAAGCUUGACUGGACAUCCAGUUUGACUUGGAUCCAGUGCCUAGAUGCUUAACAAAUUCGAUCUUAGGAUUAUUCUUUUUAAGUUUAGAUGGCUGUAGCCAUUGCUGCUCGCGUUUUGUUGGGAUGCUGGGAUGAUAAACAAGAGAGAUCGCUAAUCUUGUAGGAACCAUUUUCUUGACUGAAUGUUUUACACGCACACACUCAGGUUUCUUGCUUGAUAAUGAAACUGUCCAAUCGCUUUGGCUGAACAUACAUUGCCGUAAUGAAGCUAAUCCUGCCUGGAGAGAAACAAUGGUUCAGGUACUCUCUCUCUCUCUCUCAUUAAUGGUUUGCCUGGGAAAGAAACAAUGGAAUCCAAGCUCUUUUUGUUGUUCAUCACGGUGGGCUUCACAGUCAUCGCAGGCGAGUAUGUCCGGCCUCAGCCUCGCAAAGACCUCCAAUUCCCAUGGGACGCAAAACCCUCUUCCCAACCUCAACAGGUGCACAUCUCUUUGGCAGGAGACAAGCACAUGCAAGUGACGUGGGCCACUGGUGAUAGAUCUGCUCCUUCAAUUGUUGAAUAUGGAACAUCAUCGGGGAAAUACAGCUCCGUAGCUCAAGGAGAAAGCACUUCGUAUAGUUAUAUGAUCUAUAAGUCUGGACUGAUACACCACACUGUCAUUGGUCCUCUUGAACAUGAUACAGUUUACUUCUACAAAUGUGGAGGACAAGGUCCUGAGUUUCAGCUCAAGACCCCUGCAGCUCAGUUUCCAAUUACUUUUGCUGUGGCAGGAGAUCUUGGUCAAACUGGAUGGACAAAGUCAACCCUAGACCACAUCAAGCGCUGCAAGUAUGAUGUGCAUAUCCUUCCUGGAGACAUUUCAUAUGCUGAUUAUUUGCAGCCUCGGUGGGAUACCUUUGGUGAGCUGGUUCAGCCACUCACAAGUGCAAGGCCAUGGAUGGUAACCCAGGGAAACCAUGAGAAGGAGAGCAUACCAUUCUUGAAGGAUGGGUUUGAAUCCUAUAAUUCUAGGUGGAAAAUUCCGUAUAAAGAGAGUGGAUCGAGCUCGAAUCUUUAUUACUCCUUUGAAGUUGCAGGUGCUCAUAUUAUCAUGCUUGGCUCGUAUACUGAUUAUGAUGAAUAUUCAGAUCAAUACAAGUGGUUGAAGGCUGAUCUGUCAAAGGUAGACCGACAAAAGACACCUUGGUUGCUUGUGCUAUUUCAUGUUCCCUGGUAUAAUAGUAACAAGGCUCAUCAAGGUGAAGGGGACAGCAUGAUGGCAGCAAUGGAGCCAUUGCUUUAUGCUGCUAGUGCUGAUAUAGUGUUUGCUGGUCAUGUUCACGCAUAUGAACGGUCGAACCGUGUUAACAGUGGAAAAUCAAAUACAUGCGGUGCAGUCCACAUUACCAUUGGUGAUGGAGGAAAUAGAGAAGGUUUAGCUCAAAGGUAUGAGCACCGGUCACCUGAGUGGUCAGUUUUCCGGGAAGCAAGUUUUGGUCACUGUGAGCUAGAGAUAGUCAAUUCAACCCAUGCCUUUUGGACCUGGCAUAGGAAUGAUGAUGAUGAGCCUGUAAGGUCUGAUCAGGCGAGUUUUGGAUUGCAAGCCAGAGGUCUAUGUUGGGCGCCUAAGGGGUGUCCAGGCUGCCAAAUCAUAUAAUACUUUGACCUCUGAAGGAAAAUCCAACGACUAGAUAUGCCUGGAGAGCUGCGGUUACUCGCCUGAGGAAAGAAAAACAGGAAGUGGAAAGUUCUUACAGAAGUAAGACAUACUCUGAAGGAAAUAUAAAAACGAUUACCCCUGAAAAGGUUGAUAACAGUAGCUAUGAGAUGGGGGAGGUAACUUUAUAUGAGACACAUGGUGAAGGAAGUAAUGUGGACAGAGUAAACGGUUAUGCACACGAUAAUCCAGAUGUAGUAGCUUCUGUAGGAAUUGACAAUCCUAGUGUGGAAAAGGUGAAUGGUUAUGCACAUGAUGGUCCAAGACUGGGUGUGGCUACGCCACCCAGAUCAGGGAAGGAAGUUAAGUCCAAGGGGCCAUUAUUGGGGAAGACCUCAAAGUUCAGGAAAGGGAUUGAUUCUGGACAUAGUAAAGUUGAAGCCGGUAAUGUGAUGAACAGGGACAAGUCCGAUGUAAAAUCUUCUGAAUCUAAAGCUGCUACACCAGUACAUAGUAAGGAAGAUCUUCGCAAGACACUUAAUAACAUUUACGACAAAGUUCUCAUUGUCAAUAGUGUCUCUAUUGCAAAGAAAGUCGUUAGGAUGCUUAGAGGAGAAUAUAGGCAUCUUGUCCAUGCCUGUGACACAGAGGUUUCUUGCAUGAUAAUGAAACUGUCCAAUCACUUUGGCGGAAGAUACGUUGCCCUAAUGAAGCUAAUCCUGCCUGGAGAUGUAUCUGCAGGUCAUUUGACCAGCCAUGGAAGGAUCCGAUGUUGGAAGUCACUGAUUCC